rnacentral:rRNA from 1 species
UACAGAGGGUGCAAGCGUUGCUCGGAAUUAUUGGGCGUAAAGGGUAGGUAGGUGGUCUUAUUUGUCUGGGGUGAAAGCCUUGAGCUUAACUCAAGAAGUGCCUCAGAAACGGUGAGACUAGAGUACUGGAGAGAAUAGUGGAAUUCCCGGUGUAGCGGUGAAAUGCGUAGAGAUCGGGAGGAACACCAGCGGCGAAGGCGGCUAUCUGGACAGUAACUGACACUAAACUACGAAAGCGUGGGGAGCAAACAGG